ACUGAAGGAAAUCUUUCAGAACUAAUUUACAACUUUCUUUGCUUUCUUAGUAAAAAAAAUUGUGGCAUGGGAAGGCACACAUUCCUCGUGCAUCCCAAGUCCGAGGACUAUCGAAGCUGGCUGCUUAUUCGAUAUCUAUCAUGGAUGGAAAACGUGCUCUACGGUUAUAUAUCAUUCAUGGAUGGCAUAACAAUGGGCUUUGGAGUUGGCCUAUCUAGUCAUGGUCGCUACAUAGUGGUAACUGAGGGGAGAUUGUGCAUUUUGGUGCCGGGUACAUCACAGAUUCCUGUUAUAAAUUCCUCUGUAUAAAACAUGGUCUUCCUCUUAGUUCAGCUUGUAAGUGUCAUCAGUUUCAUUACAUGGCUGAAUGAUUUCUAUCAAAUCGAACUGUAUUACAUUUUCUUCUGUUGGAUCCAUAUGAUGUCACUUGCAACUGCUGCAUAUGUUAUAUGCGUAGUUGGGAUCAUCAUGAUGUACAUCUGGUAUGCGCUGGAACCGUCCUGCCUACUUAAUAUUUUCUUCAUCACGUGGACACUGGUACUCAUUCAGCUCAUGAUGAGCGUUUCCCUCCACCCUAAAGUAUGUUCUCG